CUGGAAUAAACGCCCUCACGGGUGCUACCCAGAAACCCUUUGUGAAUACUACCUAGAAUGUUGCCUCGGCAUUGGUUGGCCUCUUUGAGGUCCCUUUCCCUCGGGGAAGGAGCAGACCGGCCGGUGGCCCUAUAAACUCUUGUUUUUGUAAUAUCAUCUGAGUAAAAAACAUAAAUAAAUCAAAACUUUCAACAACGGA
rnacentral:misc_RNA from 1 species